rnacentral:rRNA from 1 species
GUUGCCAUCAGGUAAUGCUGGGGACGUCUAAAGGAACUGCCUACGCAAGUAGUGAGGAAGCGGGGAUGACGUCAAUCAGCACGGCCCUUACGUCCAGGGCUACACACGUGCUACAAUGGCCGAUACAGAGGGCAGCUACCUGGUGACAGGAUGCAAAUCUCCAAAGUCGGUCUCAGUUCGGAUCGGAGUCUGCAACCCGACUCCGUGAAGUUGGAUUCGCUAGUAAUCGCGCAUCAGCCAUGGCGCGGUGAAUACGUUCCCGGGCCUU